rnacentral:snoRNA from 1 species
AACCCAUGGUGAGGGCACCUUCUCAGUAAAUCCUUAUAUCUCUCCCAUGCAUCUUAAAGAGUUUCUAAGUCCAUCUAUACAAACGAAGAGAUAUCAUUAUGUAAUU